rnacentral:rRNA from 1 species
CCUGACGAGACUGACGCUCAGUGCGAAAGCGUGGGGAGCAAACAGGAUUAGAUACCUGGUAGUCCACGCUGUAAACGAUGUCGAUUUGGAGGUUGUGCCCGUGAGGCGUGGCUUCCGGAGCUAACGCGUUAAAUCGACCGCUGGGGAGUACGGCCGCAAGGUUAAAACUCAAAUGAAUUGACGGGGGCCCGCACAAGCGGUGGAGCAUGUGGUUUAAUUCGAUGCAACGCGAAGAACCUUACCUACUCUUGACAUCCAGAGAACUUUCCAGAGAUGGAUUGGUGCCUUCGGGAACUCUGAGACAGGUGCUGCAUGGCUGUCGUCAGCUCGUGUUGUGAAAUGUUGGGUUAAGUCCCGCAACGAGCGCAACCCUUAUCCUUUGUUGCCAGCGGUUCGGCCGGGAACUCAAAGGAGACUGCCAGUGAUAAACUGGAGGAAGGUGGGGAUGACGUCAAGUCAUCAUGGCCCUUACGAGUAGGGCUACACACGUGCUACAAUGGCGUAUACAAAGAGAAGCGACCUCGCGAGAGCAAGCGGACCUCAUAAAGUACGUCGUAGUCCGGAUUGGAGUCUGCAACUCGACUCCAUGAAGUCGGAAUCGCUAGUAAUCGUAGAUCAGAAUGCUACGGUGAAUACGUUCCCGGGCCUUGUACACACCGCCCGUCACACCAUGGGAGUGGGUUGCAAAAGAAGUAGGUAGCUUAACCUUCGGGAGGGCGCUUACCACUUUGUGAUUCAUGACUGGGGUGAAGUCGUAACAAGGUAACCA